rnacentral:rRNA from 1 species
GACAGAGGGGGCAAGCGUUGCUCGGAAUUACUGGGCGUAAAGGGCGCGUAGGCGGGAUGGCAAGUCGGUCGUGAAAUCCCUCGGCUCAACCGAGGAACGUCGAUCGAUACUGCUGUUCUUGAGGAUUGCAGAGGAGACUGGAAUUCCUGGUGUAGCGGUGAAAUGCGCAGAUAUCAGGAGGAACACCAAUGGCGAAGGCAGCACUCUGGGACGUGACUGACGCUGAGACGCGAAAGCGUGGGGAGCAAACAGG